rnacentral:rRNA from 1 species
CCAGGCCCUACGGGGUGCAGCAGGCGCGAAACCUCCGCAAUGUGAGAAAUCGCGACGGGGGGACCCCAAGUGCCAUUCUUAACGGGAUGGCUUUUCAUUAGUGUAAAGAGCUUUUGGAAUAAGAGCUGGGCAAGACCGGUGCCAGCCGCCGCGGUAACACCGGCAGCUCUAGUGGUAGCAGUUUUUAUUGGGCCUAAAGCGUCCGUAGCCGGUUUAAUAGGUCUCUGGUGAAAUCCUGCAGCUUAACUGUGGGAAUUGCUGGAGAUACUAUUAGACUUGAGAUCGGGAGAGGUUAGAGGUACUCCCAGGGUAGAGGUGAAAUUCUGUAAUCCUGGGAGGACCGCCUGUUGCGAAGGCGUCUGACUGGAACGAUUCUGACGGUGAGGGACGAAAGCUAGGGGCGCGAACCGGAUUAGAUACCCGGGUAGUCCUAGCUGUAAACGAUGCGGACUUGGUGUUGGGGUGGCUUUGAGCUGUCCCAGUGCCGAAGGGAAGCUGUUAAGUCCGCCGCCUGGGAAGUACGGUCGCAAGACUGUAACUUAAAGGAAUUGGCGGGGGAGCACCACAACGCGUGGAGCCUGCGGUUUAAUUGGAGUCAACGCCGG